rnacentral:rRNA from 1 species
UUAUUGUAAAUGUAAAUUUAAGCUUUUAUUAUUAAUAGUUUUGGUCUUUAAAUUAAAAGAAUUUGACGGUAAUUAUAUCUUUUCAGAGGAACCUGUCCUUUAAUUGAUAAUCCACGUUAAAUUUUACCUUAAUUUAUUAGUUUGUAUAUCUCUGUUAUUUUUGAAUGUUUUAUUAGAAUUAUUUUCUUUAAUUUAUUUAUUAUUUAUUUAAAUAUAUAUCAGGUCAAGGUGCAGCUAUAUUAAGGCAAGAGAUGGGUUACAUUAAUUUAUUUAAAUUUUGGAUUUAGUUUAUAAUAUGUAUAUUAUCUGAUAAAAUAGGAUUUGAUUGUAACAUUUAUUAUAUAUUAAUUGUGAUAAUUUGCUCUUUAUUAAGUACACAUCGCCCGUCGCUCUCAUUAGUUUAAGAUGAGAUAAGUCGUAACAAAGUAGGCCUAUCGGAAGAUGGGCCUGGAAUUAUUCAGAUUAUACUUAGGUUAACAUUAUUAUUUACAUUAAUAAUUCAUUUGUGCAAUUCAAAUUAAUCUGAUUAUUUUAAUCUUAAUUGUUAAUUUUAUUUAUGUUUAGUGUUUUUAGAAAAAACUAUAAUUAUUAGUACUGUUUAUUGAAUUUAUAUAUUUUAUAUUUAUAGUUUAUUUUAUCUGUGAGGUGGUGAAUUAUUAUUAAUACUUUAGAAGUAAAUAAUAUUAUUGUACCUUUUGUAUCAGGGUUUAUCAAUUUAAUUUAUUUAUUUAAAUAAUUUUCCCGAAACUGCAAGGGAUAUCAUAAUUUGGUAUUUAUUGUUUUAUAAAUAUUAUGAAAUUUAUGAUAGGUAAUAUAUUUUAUUCAAUUGCUGAUAUCUGGUUUUUUGAUAGAUGAAUUUAAUUCAGGGUUAAUUUAAUUAAUUAUAUAAUUUUAUUUUAUAUUAUUUAUUUAAUCUAAGAUUAAAGGGGAUAAGCUCUUUUUUUAUUUUAUAACUAAUAUUUUAUUAUCUAAAAUUUUGUAGGAUUAACAGUGUCCUUCAUUUGUUUUAAAUAUUUUGUUAUUAUUAUUUUUUUUGUUAAUAUAUUUUAAUUUAUUAUUGGUUUAAUUUUUUAUCAAUUCUUUUUAUUUAACAUUAAAAUAUAAUUUAUAAUGAUAAAAUUAGUAAUUUUGUUUAUUUAUUUAUAGUAACUCGGCAAAUUUGAUUUUCACCUGUUUAUCAAAAACAUGUCCUGUUGUUAUUUAUUUCAGGUCAAACCUGCUCAAUGAUUAAUUUAUAAUUAAUUUAAUAGCCGCAGUAUUUUGACUGUGCAAAGGUAGCAUAAUCAUUUGUCUUUUAAUUGAAGGCUUGUAUGAAUGGUUUCAUGAAAUUUCUGCUUUCUUUAUUUAAACUUUUGAAUUUAACUUUUUAGUUAAAAGGCUAAAAUUUAUUUAUGGGACGAGAAGACCCUAUAGAAAUUUAUAUUUAUAUUUAUAUUUACAUUUUUGUUUAUUAAUUAAUAUUUUUAUUUAUUUAAAUAUUUUGUUGGGGCGACUUAGAGAUUUUAUGAACUCUUUAUUUUUAUCUUUUAUUUAUUUAUAUUUAUUUUUGAUCCUUUAUUAUGGAUAAUAAGAUUAAUUUACCUUAGGGAUAACAGCGUAAUUCUUUCGGAGAGUUCUUAUCGAUGAGAGGGU